GACGAACGCUGGCGGCGUGCUUAACACAUGCAAGUCGAACGGAAAGGCCCUGCUUUUGUGGGGUGCUCGAGUGGCGAACAGGUGAGUAACACGUGAGUAACCUGCCCUUGACUUUGGGAUAACUUCAGGAAACUGGGGCUAAUACCGGAUAGGAGCUCCUGCUGCAUGGUGGGGGUUGGAAAGUUUCGGCGGUUGGGGAUGGACUCGCGGCUUAUCAGCUUGUUGGUGGGGUAGUGGCUUACCAAGGCUUUGACGGGUAGCCGGCCUGAGAGGGUGACCGGCCACAUUGGGACUGAGAUACGGCCCAGACUCCUACGGGAGGCAGCAGUGGAGAAUAUUGCACAAUGGGCGGAAGCCUGAUGCAGCAACGCCGCGUGCGGGAUGACGGCCUUCGGGUUGUAAACCGCUUUCGCCUGUGACGAAGCGUGAGUGACGGUAAUGGGUAAAGAAGCACCGGCUAACUACGUG
rnacentral:rRNA from 1 species